AGAAAGUGUUCUAUCAGAGAGACUUAGGGGUUAGUGUUGCCAAUUUGACCCAAGCUAGAAUCCUCUGGAAAGAGGGGACCUCAAUUGAGAAAAUGCUUCCAGGAGAUACAGUUUUAAGGAAUUUUCUUAAUUAGUGAUUGCUAGGGAAGGGCUCAGCCCAUUGUGGAUGGUACCAUCACUGGGCUGGUGGUUCUGGAUUCUAUAAGAAAGAAGUGUACUAAGCCAGGAGGAGCAAGCCAGUAAGCAGCAUCCCUCCAUGGCCUCUGUAUCAACCCGCUGGAGUUCCUGUCCUGGCUUCCUUCAAUGACUGCCUGACCAUAGCUGAGCUGAUAUCUGAUCAUUAUAUUCUGCUCAGGAGAAGAGGGCAUCAGAUACUACAACCUGGCCAUCAGCCCCCCCCCCCCAUGCCUGCUUUCUCUCCGUGGACCCCACUUUUCUGUCUCCUCCUCUGCACAGCAUCUCAAUGAAUUAGCCUGAGAGCUGUACCCAAUAAACCUGCCUUUAUAUACUUU
ensembl:antisense Gm15564 predicted gene 15564